GAUGAACGCUGGCGGCGUGCUUAACACAUGCAAGUCGAACGGAAAGGCUCCUGCUUGCAGGGGUACUCGAGUGGCGAACGGGUGAGUAACACGUGGGUGAUCUGCCCUGCACUUCGGGAUAAGCCUGGGAAACUGGGUCUAAUACCGGAUAGGACGAUGGUUUGGAUGCCAUUGUGGAAAGUUUUUUCGGUGUGGGAUGAGCUCGCGGCCUAUCAGCUUGUUGGUGGGGUAAUGGCCUACCAAGGCGUCGACGGGUAGCCGGCCUGAGAGGGUGUACGGCCACAUUGGGACUGAGAUACGGCCAGACUCCUACGGGAGGCAGCAGUGGGGAAUAUUGCACAAUGGGCGCAAGCCUGAUGCAGCGACGCCGCGUGGGGGAUGACGGCCUUCGGGUUGUAAACUCCUUUCGCUAGGGACGAAGCGCAAGUGACGGUACCUGGAGAAGAAGCACCGGCUAACUACGUG
rnacentral:rRNA from 1 species